GAAUCAAGUUGGACCAGCAAAGUCACCAACACCCUGGCCCCUCCACCAAACCAGCCUCUGAGUCACUGUUUUUUCUUUCCUCACUGCAGGCCUUGGGGUUUCUAGGAGACUGAAGGGUGUUUCUAAGCCAAACAUUCCCAUGACAGGAGCACGAACCUGGAGAGAGAAUGAAGCCAGGAAAUCUGAGCAUUCUCUUCACCUCUGUCUUGCCAUAAUUCUCUGGCAUCUACUCAACGGCGUGUGUCCUUUGGAACCUUCCACUCCAGCUCCUAGGCAGCUCUGCAGGCAGCAUGGGAGCUCAGUGGGUGAGAUCAGGAUACAUCGUCUGAGGAGGUGGCCCAGAACCAUCUCCUGCUGCCCUCACCAUCAACUUCUCGCCCCAGGGAAGGGAGGAUCACUACAAGCCAAGAGUCAGGGGGCUGAGCCCAAGCCUCAUCUUCAGUAGUCGACUAGACUCCACCUUGUCGAGCCUCAGUUUCCUCUUCUAUUCUACCACUUUAUAGGGGUAUUGUGGUGGUGGGGGGAUACUUGGUGGUGGUCAGAGGAGGUCUGCUCUGUCUCCCUGCCUGAUCCUAGGUCUCCCCGAGCUAGGCCUCAGUUUCUCCUGAGGGGAGCUGACUUACGUCUUCCUCAAAGCUGAUUUUCACCCCUCUAGGUGUUCUUUUUUUUUUUUUUUUCAAUUUGGUCCAAAUGUUAGCAGGACUCAGGUGCCCCAGUCUUCUUGCUCAGAAGUGGAAGGCCUGCCCCAGAUGCCCCUGUCACAGCCCCAGCAACCGGGGAGAGGAAGUAAGGG
ensembl:lncRNA